GAUGAGAACGUAGCGAAAUGCGAUAAGUAAUGUGAAUUGCAGAAUUCAGUGAAUCAUCGAAUCUUUGAACGCACAUUGCGCCCCUUGGUAUUCCGAGGGGCAUGCCUGUUCGAGCGUCAUUAUCACCCCUCAAGCUUUGCUUGGUGUUGGGGCCUGCUGUAAUAGGCAGCCCUUAAAAUCAGUGGCGGUGCUUCAAGGCUCUAAGCGUAGUAAUUCUCCUCGCUAUAGUGUCUAGUGGUUGCCAGCCAGAACCCCCCAAUUUUCAUGAUUGACCUCGGAUCAGGUAGGGAUACCCGCUGAACUUAAGCAUAUCAAUAAGCGGAGGA
rnacentral:misc_RNA from 1 species